AGCUUUGCGCAGUGGCAUAAUCGUAGCCAAUGAGGUUUAUCCGAGAAGCGAUUAUAGCUAAUUGAAAAAGAUGAAAAUAAUUUUAAGUUAUUACACAAAAAGGUGACUUAAAAAGUCAGUCUUAAGAGGU
rnacentral:snRNA from 1 species